rnacentral:lncRNA from 1 species
UAAGAAGUAAUACCUAUAGCACAACACACUCAUUCACACAAAUGAAUAAAUAUAUCAAUCUAGUCAUCCGACUAGUUAUAUGCUCACGCAGCCAGUCACACAAAUGGCAUAUCAUCAGCACUCACAAUCAUAAACAUCUUCAUGUAAUCACAUCACGUGGAAAUUAGUCAGUGGCGCCACCUGAAACCCCAACGAGCCGUCCUCACACAUGGCUCGCCCUCUCAUACAUGUGCACCAGGGAGCCGAUCCCCCAUACGGCCAACUGGUCUAAUCCUCACUGACCAGUCCUCUCAUUAUUUUUCCAUUCUCUCGUUUCUUUUCCAUACCAACAGGAGGCAACCCGGUGGUCUCCAUCCAAUCUAGAUCAUCAAGUGCUCACAACAGGAGGCCACCCUGCGGGCUACAAUCAAAUCUAGAUUAUCAGGUGCGCAACAACAAGAAGCCAUCCUGUGAAUUCCCAUAUAAUCUAUAUCAUCAGGUGCACAAGGGGGCGCCGAUCUCCCAUUUUCCCGGCCGACGGUCAAAUUCCAUAUCAUAUCAUAUUCAGGAUCCAUAUCACAGACCGUCCUCACAAACCCAUGGUGGUCCACUUCAUCCCAAUUCCACACAAACAAGGCAUAACAUAUUCACAGCACAGGUAAUCAAACAAUGCAAUCAAAUGCAGACAUAUUGAUCAGUUGAACACCGUAAUGCAAUGCACAAUUAGACAUCCAUUCUCAAAUGCAAUUAAAUAAUUAAAUAAAUACCAUCAACAAUAAACAACAACAAUAAAAUAAAUGAUAAUAAUAAACAAUAACAAUGAAAAUAAUUAAAUACUUAAAUAAUUAAAUGAAUAAUAAAGAUAGUAA